CGAGAUAGAGUUGUGGAGGCGUGGAGCCCUGCCCGCCUUGGUUGCGUUCUGCCGGUGAGGUUCUUGUGCUGUACUCCCUUUUGUCUAUAAAAAACGAAUGUAGAAUCGGAUAUGACAUAUUCUAUUACGAUGAAUCUGAACAUUUAUAUGUCUAGAUUUAUAGUACUAGUAUGUGUCACAUCUAGUACCAGGUUAGUUUUUUAGACCAUUCACAGUGCGGUGAGGUAGCGUGUGGCAAUCUCUAUCCACGUCGGCCCAAUGCAUACGUGGAGGAGAGAAGGAGGUGAGGCGCGCGUUUUUACCAGCUUCGCGUGGCUAGUUUUGGCUCCGAGAACCUCAGCAAAUUGUUAGAGAAAAACACAUGCCACAGAGCAGGAGAGAGAGAGUGAAGAAGCUCGCCGGAGAGGGAGAGGAGUAGGGGCGCCAAAUCCGAGCCAGAUCCACACCGAGUUCGCCAUCCCAUCCGGCGGCGACGAGAGGAGCUCGCCCGCGGAGGUGGUGAAGCGACGGCGCCCUCGCUAGCCAACGCCGAGCUCCCCCGCCGCCGAAUCCUCCGCCGCCCGCUUCCGCGUGCUGACCUCGCCGUUGUUUCGGCGAGGGGGGGGGGAGGGUGGUGCGCCGGCGAGCGCCAAGCGCGGCACCCCUGCCGUCGGCAGCGGAGGAGCUCGGCCCGACUCGGCGCUAUGGGGUG
rnacentral:lncRNA from 1 species